AAUGAAGUGGAGGUGGAUGUGCAUUUCUUGUGAGGGUCAAACCACUUUUUCAACAGAUGCACCACGAUUGAAGACAAAAAAUGUGAAUUCAACAAGAAUUUUCAUUUCAUCCUUCACACUAAACUGGCUAACCCUCACUUACAAGCCAGAACUGCGGGCUCAGACUACCUUAAUUAAUUUCACUGUCAGCAGGGACAGGCUGGAAGACCAGCGUUGGCUGAGGCUGUUAAUGCAAGACUCACAAAAAAAGUAAGGUAAGGACUGUAUUUUGAUUUGUCUGUUGCCUGCUCUGAAAUUUUAA
rnacentral:lncRNA from 1 species